rnacentral:tRNA from 2 species
CAAGGCGUAGCUAUAAAAAAAGUAUUCAGCUUACACCUGAAAGAUAUCUGCUCACACCAGAUCGCCUUGA